rnacentral:rRNA from 1 species
UUAAAAAGCUCGUAGUUGAAUUUCGGGACCAUCAUGUUGGUCGUGCCUAGGUACGUACUGGCAUUGUUGGUUUCUCCCUUCUGACGAACCAUGAUGUCAUUUAUUUGGUGUCGUGGGAAAUCAGGACUGUUACUUUGAAAAAAUUAGAGUGUUUAAAGCAGGCUCACGCUUGAAUACAUUAGCAUGGAAUAAUGAAAUAGGACGUUUGAUUCUAUUUUGUUGGUUUCUAGGAUCGACGUAAUGAUUAAUAGGGAUAGUUGGGGG